rnacentral:rRNA from 1 species
UGAGGAAUAUUGGGCAAUGCCCGAAAGGGUGACCCAGCAACGCCGCGUGGAGGAUGAAGGUCGUAAGAUUGUAAACUCCUGUUAGAGGGGAAGAAUAACUAAGUUUGGAGCUUAGUAUGACUGUACCCUCAGAGAAAGCCCCGGCUAACUACGUGCCAGCAGCCGCGGUAAUACGUAGGGGGCGAGCGUUAUCCGGAAUUAUUGGGUUUAAAGGGUGCGUAGGCGGACUAAUAAGUCAGUGGUGAAAGCCUGCAGCUUAACUGCAGAAUUGCCAUGGAUACUGUUAGUCUUGAGUUCAGUUGAGGUAGGCGGAAUGUGUCAUGUAGCGGUGAAAUGCUUAGAUAUGACACAGAACACCGAUUGCGAAGGCAGCUUGCUAAGCUGUAACUGACGCUGAGGCACGAAAGCGUGGGGAGCAAAC